rnacentral:tmRNA from 1 species
GGGGGUGCACCGGAUUCGAUUGCCGGUGAGCGAAAAAAUAAGCAUACUGCGGACGGAGUGACCGCAUUAAAAAAAUUCCGCUAAAUUUAAAUGCAGAUAACAAUGCAAAUUACGCACUUGCUGCGUAAAUUCGUUAUUUAAUAGCGAACGUCGCGCCCGAUUUAUCCGUCGGUCGGGGGUGCGGCGUCAAACAGACGGAAAAAUCUCAAGCGGAUCGGGAAGUGUUCUUUGAGAUUAUUUAGCUUCCUGCGGGACGCAAAGCGUGUUUAGCCGCGUUGCGCUUUUUAAGAAAAGUAGAUAAACUAAGUAUGUAGAAAGUUUUUUGGCAGCCGCGUAAGACGUGAGUUCGACUCUCACCACCUCCACCA